AACGAACGCUGGCGGCAUGCCUAACACAUGCAAGUCGAACGAGACCUUCGGGUCUAGUGGCGCACGGGUGCGUAACGCGUGGGAACCUGCCCUUAGGUUCGGAAUAACUCCCCGAAAGGGGUGCUAAUACCGGAUAAUGUCUUCGGACCAAAGAUUUAUCGCCUUUGGAUGGGCCCGCGUUGGAUUAGCUAGUUGGUAGGGUAAAAGCCUACCAAGGCGACGAUCCAUAGCUGGUCUGAGAGGAUGAUCAGCCACACUGGGACUGAGACACGGCCCAGACUCCUGCGGGAGGCAGCAGUGGGGAAUAUUGGACAAUGGGCGAAAGCCUGAUCCGGCAAUGCCGCGUGAGUGAUGAAGGCCUUAGGGUUGUAAAGCUCUUUUACCCGGGAUGAUAAUGACAUUACCGGGAGAAUAAGCGCCGGCUAACUCCGUG
rnacentral:rRNA from 1 species